CCCCCCGUAGUUUAAUGGAAGAACGCCGGACUUCUAAGCCGGGUAUGGGAGUUCGAUUCUCUCCGGGGGGA
rnacentral:tRNA from 1 species